UCGCACAAUUGGUCAUCGCGCU
rnacentral:sRNA from 1 species